AAUAGAACCCGGGUAGUCCAUGCCGUAAACGAUGUCUACUAGCCGUUGGGGCCUUUGAGGCUUUAGUGGCGCAGCUAACGCGAUAAGUAGACCGCCUGGGGAGUACGGUCGCAAGACUAAAACUCAAAUGAAUUGACGGGGGCCCGCACAAGCGGUGGAGCAUGUGGUUUAAUUCGAUGCAACGCGAAGAACCUUACCUGGUCUUGACAUAGUAAGAACUUUCCAGAGAUGGAUUGGUGCCUUCGGGAACUUACAUACAGGUGCUGCAUGGCUGUCGUCAGCUCGUGUCGUGAGAUGUUGGGUUAAGUCCCGCAACGAGCGCAACCCUUUUCCUUAUUUGCCAGCGGGUUAAGCCGGGAACUUUAAGGAUACUGCCAGUGACAAACUGGAGGAAGGCGGGGACGACGUCAAGUCAUCAUGGCCCUUACGACCAGGGCUACACACGUGCUACAAUGGUCGGUACAAAGGGUUGCUACCGUAGCGAUAGGAUGCUAAUCUCAAAAAGCCGAUCGUAGUCCGGAUUGGAGUCUGCAACUCGACUCC
rnacentral:rRNA from 1 species